rnacentral:lncRNA from 1 species
AUGGGCUUUAGGGUUUACAUUUUGAUCAUUAUUAUUCUUUGGUUUUUAUCACGUUAUCAGCACUUUGAUUCUCCACUGGGAUUUACUGCAAGUUAGAUUCAACAGAUUCAACACUUUUCUUCAUUAUAUCCUGAAAAUAUGUCGAACUUAUCAAAACUUGAAUUCACCGCACUUGACAUCUCGGGUAACAACUACCUCCCAUGGACUCUUGAUGCUAAAAUUCAUUUGACGGCAAAUAAUUUGGGGGAAACAAUUAUUGAUG